rfam:Caenorhabditis brenneri strain PB2801 C_brenneri-6.0.1_Cont421.7, whole genome shotgun sequence.
CCGUAAAUGAAGAGAAAAUCAUCCUUGCUCUGCGAGCCGUAUGACAAUGUGAUUGACCGAAAAUGAGGAUAAUUUCAACAUCGGGUUGAAUUAUUCUAUUUUUUAGGAAGAUCGUUUACGGCGGUGAACAGCUUUGGCCUCCGAUACGG